UCCAAGGACGGUUGUGCCUGUGUUUGCAC
rnacentral:piRNA from 1 species